rnacentral:rRNA from 1 species
CUACGGGGUGCUGCAGUGGGGAAUAUUGCACAAUGGAGGAAACUCUGAUGCAGCAACGCCGCGUGGAGGAUGACACUUUUCGGAGCGUAAACUCCUUUUAUAUAGGAAGAAGAUGACGGUACUAUAUGAAUAAGCGCCGGCUAACUCCGUGCCAGCAGCCGCGGUAAUACGGAGGGCGCAAGCGUUACUCGGAAUCACUGGGCGUAAAGAGCGUGUAGGCGGAUUAAAAAGUCAGAAGUGAAAUCCUAUAGCUUAACUAUAGAACUGCUUCUGAAACUCUUAAUCUAGAAUGUGGGAGAGGUAGAUGGAAUUUCUGGUGUAGGGGUAAAAUCCGUAGAGAUCAGAAGGAAUACCGAUUGCGAAGGCGAUCUACUAGAACAUUAUUGACGCUGAGACGUGAAAGCGUGGGGAGCAAACAGGAUUAGAUACCCGAGUAGUC